GGGGAAUUAGCUCAGCUGGGAGAGCGCCUGGUUUGCAACCAGGAGGUCACCGGUUCGAUCCCGGUAUUCUCCACCA
rnacentral:tRNA from 3 species